rnacentral:lncRNA from 1 species
CUCCUACUGUCUCAAUAGGGAGUGGUGGGUAGACAGUCUGUAUUGGAGCAACCCCAGGUCAUGCUCCUGGAGGCCCUCCGUCUUGUCCUCUCUCAUCUGCAGCUCCGAGAUGUCCGCCUCCACCUCCUCAAUUUGUUUGACAAUAUUGCCUACCUCCAUAUGACUCCAUCGAAUGAGCCUGCACCAUGCCAACUCCAACCUCUUGGUCACCCGAUAUCUUGCAUUAUCUUGCAUCACCCUGACAUCCUCCACACGUUCCUGAUCAAGUCCCAAGCUCUCAUGUAAAAGGUCCAGAUCUUCUUGAACCUGAA